rnacentral:rRNA from 1 species
GAUGAACGCUGGCGGCGUGCUUAACACAUGCAAGUCGAACGAAGCACCUUGAUUUGAUUCUUCGGAUGAAGAUCUUGGUGACUGAGUGGCGGACGGGUGAGUAACGCGUGGGUAACCUGCCUCAUACAGGGGGAUAACAGUUAGAAAUGACUGCUAAUACCGCAUAAGACCACAGCACCGCAUGGUGCAGGGGUAAAAACUCCGGUGGUAUGAGAUGGACCCGCGUCUGAUUAGGUAGUUGGUGGGGUAACGGCCUACCAAGCCGACGAUCAGUAGCCGACCUGAGAGGGUGACCGGCCACAUUGGGACUGAGACACGGCCCAAACUCCUACGGGAGGCAGCAGUGGGGAAUAUUGCACAAUGGGGGAAACCCUGAUGCAGCGACGCUGCGUGAGCGAUGAAGUAUUUCGGUAUGUAAAGCUCUAUCAGCAGGGAAGAAAAUGACGGUACCUGACUAAGAAGCACCGGCUAAAUACGUG